rnacentral:lncRNA from 1 species
GUUCGCUGCAGGCCCAGAAAAAGCCCAAAGGUUGGGACACAAAAACAGACACUUCAUCUUUUCUUCCUAAUGCCGUUCUCUAGUAGGGGAAGGAUUAUAGACUGAAAGGUGGUGGGGGGGGAAGGGGCAGGAGGAGGAAGCAGGGGAGGCAGGAAUGAAAAAGGGGAGGGGAGUGGGUAUUGUGCCGCGUGUGGGGGGAGAAUUCCUACGGGUGGGUUUCCGAAUAUUGUGUUCAACUUUUUGAAAGCAGCUCGUGACCCCGAAACUACAUCCCCCGGACCUGGGGACCCAGGCGCCGGGCAGGCGAAUGAACCGGGCCGGUCCCUCCCUAUUCCCUCAACCCCCCGCCUCCGGGUGUGGGCGACCCGGCCUCUCCCCGUCGCUUUGGUGCCAGCCGGGGAGGGAGGCUGGGCAGGUGCCGCAGGCUUUGCUGAAAGCACCGAAAUUGAAAAUCCUCGCUUGAAGGGCUAACUGAGGAAAUUCGCGCAGAGACUACGCUCCGUGAUACCCCAGCCUCUACUGGGGAGCCUGCGGAACCUGCACCCCGCCUGUUGGGUGGCGGCCGCGAUCCAGGAGCGCAAACCCGGGAGGAGGGCGGCGGCGAGCGCGCAGCUUUGUGCUCCGGCCCUCGGCUUCGCGCUGCCGGGCUGGCAGCAGCCCCCGGCUGUCUUCGCCUCCCCGCAGAGCCCAGUUCGCAGCGCCCAAUUCGCCCACCUCGCGGCCCUCCACCGCCAGCGCCUCUCGGCCCUAGCCCGAAGCCCUACGCACGGCGCCUGAAGUCACAAAGUUUGGAGAUUCACCAAGCUGAGGAGGAAGAGAGGAACAUCUUGAUCCAGGUUGAAAUCUGAAGAAAACUUGAACCCAGAUUCCAGAAAUUCUAAAUUACACAGAGGCAAAGUUUUGGCCAGGUCACCAAGAAGGAAACAGUCCAUAAUCAGAGAACACACCAG